rnacentral:lncRNA from 1 species
GUCACCAGGAGCUGAUCUUCUCUGCGAGAGAGUGGAAUCAGCUGAAAGAACUGUGUGAUAUCCUCAAGUCCUUUUCAGAAGCCACUGAUCUCACACAGGGUGAGAAGUCUGUGACUAUCAGCGCCGUUCUUCCUAGUGUGUUGUCCCUAAACAACCACCUGGAGAAACUCAAGCAGAAGGUUGGUUAUUGUUACACACACACACACACACACACACACACACUCUAAUUUAUUUAUUUGUUCAGGUUCAGUUACUGGGAGGCGUGGUCAGGUGCCUUCAGAUCUCCCUCAAAACAAGAUUCCGUGGGAUCCUGGUCAAUGUGAAAAUGGAAACUGCAGCGCCAGACGAACCACAGCCUCUACCUUUUGCAGACCCCCUGUAUAUUAGAGCAGCUGUCCUGGACCCAGAAUACUCUAUAAUGUGGCUGAAACAAGACGUCCUUGUCAACGAUGAUGUCAAGAGGGAGGUGUCUGACAUGGUGAAAGAACUGAUCCUACGGGAGGUGCCAGCUGACCAGACACCUGAGACUCCAGAGGGAGAGGAGGAGCUGUUGGAGGAGGAAGGGGUUGGGCUCUACGCAGGAUACAAGAAGCGCCGCAAGCGGGACACAAUGACACCAGAAGCUCAGCUGAACAACUACCUUAGCCUUGAUACUGAUCAGACUUGUCUCACAUUUUGGGAGGCAAAUAAAAACUCCCUCCCUGCACUUUAUAAGAUUGCCAUUAGAGCACUUGCAGUGCCCGCAACUAGUGCGCCAGUCGAGAGAGUCUUUAGCCACGGUGGCAUCAUUUUGAGACCACAUCAUUCUCGCAUGAAGGGCGGCACCCUCUCAAACCUUGUGUUUCUCAAGUGCAACAAUCUGUGAAUGUACUGUAUGUAACAGAGCCACUACUUGACUCUGUAACAUAGAGGGUUAGGUUGCACAAAUAAUUUUACUUUGGAAAGGUUGAAUUUACCCAGCUCUUAUUUCUUUUAUAACGCUUAUCUUUAAAAUAUGUUGAUAUCUCUUUAGAAUUUUCUGACAAAAUAAUACUCAUAGUGGAGUGACUGUCAGUCCAUGCAAACAUCUUGACAAAAGAUGAAUCCCUUAAAUGGAUGGUCCUUUAUUUUAAGUUAUGUUUAUAUUUAAGCUCCUGCUCUGUGCUGUUUAGUUUACAUUGCACUUUGUUUGCACUGAUCAUAAUUUUGUUUGCCUUUGUAAAGGUAGCUACCUCGAAUGUAAAACAAAAAGAUUGCAAUUUAAAUGUUGCAAAUGUACCAAAUAAACAUUUUUUUUGUGUCAAACAUGCCAUUUCUUUAAUGGAAUGUAGCCUAGCCUUUGCCAUCUACCUAGGUCUAAAUGAUCAAACAUGUAAUGGAUAAAUGUAUAGCUUUUAAGCUUUAUGCUGGUGUAAUCCAUGCAGAGUUGCAGACUAAUCUGCAUGGUAUU